GCGGCCGGGGCCUCACACAUCGAAGCGCAGGUUUUGCUUCUCCUCGAAGAAAUAGUCCAGGACGAAUUUGCGUAGGAAGUCCGGGUUGAGCGUGUUGUCGAUCACCUCGGUCCGUCCGAACUGGUGGGGGGACGCAGGGCUUGCUAAGUUGCCCAGGCUGGUCUUGAACUUGUGAUCCUCUUGCCUCAGCCUCCAGAGCAGCUGAGAUUAUAGGUGUGUGCCACCUUACCCAGCAAUGUCAGCCACCAAACACAUCAUGGGAAGAAGCUCUGCCUUAGGAGAGCCCCGAAUGCCCCGGGGAAUCAGGGCCUAAUAGUGAAGACCACUUGGGCUCCAGCCACACCUCUACUUCCUGUGGUCCCCACCAUCAAGAGUUUGGAAGCGUGCUGGCUAUCCCACCAGGAUACGGGCUCUGAUUCUCUUCCCAUUGUCUCUGCAGGCAUUGAUUACAGAGGAGAGAUAGUCAGUCCCUCUUGCCUCCCUUCCUUGAAAUUACAAGUCAAGAAGAGGAACAUGUACAGACUCAGGCUUACCACACCGUGAACUCCAAAAGAGGCUGACAUCCAACGUGUCUUUCAUGGAAGAGGCCCCAAAAUGAACUACACCUAGUCUUUAGACUAAGGUCAAGCAUGUGCAAGACGUCCCCUGGAGAUGACCCCCUCUCCCCAGGAGUCUGCCAGCCCGGUAGCAAGGCUGACACACAGGGCCAGGGAAGCAGGUGGCGGUCCUGAGUCCUGGGCAAGUGUGGAAAUAAAUGGCACAUGGGA